rnacentral:rRNA from 1 species
AGUGAACGCUGGCGGUAGGCCUAACACAUGCAAGUCGAACGGCAGCACAGUAAGAGUUUGCUCUUACGGGUGGCGAGUGGCGGACGGGUGAGGAAUACAUCGGAAUCUACUUUUUCGUGGGGGAUAACGUAGGGAAACUUACGCUAAUACCGCAUACGACCUACGGGUGAAAGCAGGGGAUCUUCGCACCUUGCGCGAUUGAAUGAGCCGAUGUUGGAUUAGCUAGUUGGCGGGGUAAAGGCCCACCAAGGCGACGAUCCGUAGCUGGUCUGAGAGGAUGAUCAGCCACACUGGAACUGAGACACGGUCCAGACUCCUACGGGAGGCAGCAGUGGGGAAUAUUGGACAAUGGGCGCAAGCCUGAUCCAGCCAUACCGCGUGGGUGAAGAAGGCCUUCGGGUUGUAAAGCCCUUUUGUUGGGAAAGAAAAGCAGCAGGUUAAUACCCCGCUGUUCUGACGGUACCCAAAGAAUAAGCACCGGCUAACUUCGUG